rnacentral:lncRNA from 1 species
AGUUUGCAUACAUUUGAGAAUAUUCUAAAAAUGCACUGGGUUUGGUCAAGACACACAGGUGGUCAGUAUACAUAAGUGAAGUGGAGAGUAUCUGAACUGGUUAGGUGCUGGAGGCAAGGAUUUAUACCUAGGAUGUUCUGCCAUUGCCAGGUAAUGACAUCAGCAUAUGAAGAAAGGCCUUAUUCUAAUAUGAUAUUUACUGUAUCAAAGCAGUUGAUAGAAGUAAUGUCUUUCUCGUUUUGCUACUUUAAUGUGGAAGAUUUGCAUGUCAGGCUCUCUGUUAGACCCUAAGCUUCUAAAAGUCCAAGUGAGGCCUUACAGGGUGCUUGCCAAUUAAGAAGUUAAGAUCAGACAGAUCUGGUUUCAAAUAUAAGCUCUGACUCUUCUUAAUUUGAGACAUGCUGUUUGAACUCUUUUAGCCUCAAUCUGUAAAAUGGAGAUGGUAAUAGCCUCUAAAUCAGGGUUGCUGUGAAGAUUAAAUGAAAACAUCUGUAAAGCCUGAAACACAGUUAAUACUCAAUAAAUGCAGCCCUUAUUGUUUUCAGCACAUUGAAUUGUUCAUGAUAAUUUAUUUGCCUAGCUCCCUAAUUAGAUUAAACAUUUGAAGGCAGAGGUCAUGUCCUAUACCAUCUCCCAUUUCAUUCUAUAUUUUCCCCAGUAGACUAAUGUUUCUUAGUGUGGUAGUCUAGACCACUGAGAUUCUUCAGCUUAUCCAAAAAGAGAACCCCUUUGCCCUGCCUAGAUUCUGAACAAUGUCAAAAAUAAAACAAUAAAAUUGAAGGCCAAAAUAUUACCAGUGCUACUGAUAAAGCUAAGUACAAAAAUGACCUUGCGGAAGAGCCAAAGUCACCUUCAAAGACAACUCCUGAACUGGAAAAGUUUACCUACCCAAUGUCAGGCAGCACUGGACUAGGGCUGUGGGGAGGCCUGACCAAGUCAGAUAAGAGCACAAGGCCAGUUCAGGCUGCCCUCGGGCAGUCUCAUUUCCAACCCCGGCCAAGAAAGCUGUGCUAGAGGUGGCCUAGAUUUCCAGAGUUUGGGGGCACAAUGUGAGGCCAGAUAUAGAUCCUGUAGAAGACAACUGAACUUGAUUGUUUUAAAGGAUUUCCUAUCAAGAGCACCAUCUGAAGUGGACACAAUUGGAGAAACUGGUUAUUUUACCAAGGCUUUGACUGGAAUGGUGCACUUUCCUUUAAGGAUCAAACAUGACUUAUGGAGCCAAUUAAAUCCCCUUGGGAAAACUGGCCUCAUUGCUUGUCUACACAGUUCCUGUCCAGGGUUCCUGACUUACGGAUGUGAGACUUCACAACCUGCUAAAAAUGAACUUUCCUAAUAACUCGGGACCUACCCAUCUAGGAAUAAACCAUCCUAUUCAUGACAGUGCCUGUGAAAGAUAAAGGAGAAAGAAUCAGGGUUGGAGAACUGGAAAAGUCUUGGCCAACCAAAUAGGCAACCCUGCAGCAAAGAUUGCCCAUUAGAAGAGUCAAAUGCUAGGAAGAAAUUGCAAACCCUACUAUUCUCACUGUGCUCAAACUUCGACUAGGAACUUCCACAAAGAGUGUGGCCUUGGCUUGAACAUUGCAGCAGCAGAUUAUGUAGGUGCUGAACUUGGAGUUUUGCACUUCUCACAGCUGACAGCAAAUUCUUUCUUCAAGGGAGACCUGAGCAGUCCUCCAUAUCUGCCAAAUUACUGCAUAGGAACAAAAAGGAGCCCUCCAUUCAUCUAAGAAGCAAAAUGAACUAGCAGAGAGAGCUUUGGCAUCAGGCAAAUCUGAUUGUAAAUACUUCUAGCAUAUAGUUGCUCUUACAUUGAGUUGGAUUGCUGGAUCAGGAAAUAUUAAUAUUUUAAAGACAUUUAUUACCAAACCAGUAUCAAAAAUAUCACUUUGGUUGACCAUGAUACCAGCAAUGGAUACAUGUAUAUGUUUCCCUGAAAUGCUAUGAAUACUGUUUUUCUGAGGCAUGAAGAGAUGCUUUCUGCCCUCGAACAACAGACUCCAAGUUCUUCAAAUUUGGAUUCUUGGACUUACAUCAGCGAUUUGCCAGGGCCUUCAGCCACAGACUGAAGGCUGCACUGUCAGCUUCCCUACUUUUGAGGU